CAAACCCGGUUAUACCCCCCAAAACCAACUGGGCUCCCCUCAAACCCAACCGGGCCCCCCAAACGCGGUUAUGCCCCCCCCAAACCCGGCUCUGCCCCCUAAACCCGGCUAUGACCCUCCCGAACACGGCCGUGCCCCCCCCAAAACCGGCUGUGCCCCCCAAAUCCGGUCGGGCCCCCCAAACCCAGGAAUGAAUGGGGAGGGAGGGAGGAAUUGGGGGUGGUGCUUUAGGGACCCCCCCCCCCCCCAAUCGGGGCACAUGCGUGUGUAAAGGGGGGGUUGGGGAGGGUGGGGGUGUGCGCGUGACACGAGCGUGCAUGAGCGUGUGAGCUUGGGGUGAGUGUGCAAGGGGGGAGCUCGGUGAGUGUGCAAGGCCCUGUCCCAGUUCCCCCCAGUUUGAGAUCUCCAUCUCCCAUUUCCCCAUCCCAGUCCCCCUGGUUUGGGGGUGCAAUCCUCACAUUCCCUCCCAGUCCCCCCAGUCUGAGGGCUCCAUUCCCCCAUCUCAGUUCCCCCAGUCUGGAGGGACCAUCCCAACCUCCACGACCAUCCCAACCUCCCCAGUCUGGUGCUUCCAUCCUCCCAGUCUCCCCAUCCCAGUGCCCCCAGUGUGAGGGUUCCAUCCCCCCAUUCCCUUCUCCCAGUCCCCCCAGUUUGGGGGUGCAAUCCCCUCAUUCCUCCCUCCCAGUUCCCCCAGUUUGGCACCUCCAUCCCCCCAUUCCCUCCUCCCAAUCCUUGGGGGGGGUGCAAUCCCCUCAUUCCUUCCCAGUCCCCCCCAGUUUGAGGGCUCCAUCCCCCCAUUCCCCCAUCCCAGUUCCCCCAGUUUGGGACCUCCAUCCCCCCAUUUCGUCUUCCCAAUCCCCCCAGUUUGAGGGCUCCAUCUCCCCAUUCCUUCCCAGUUCCCCAGUUUGCCAUCUCCAUGCCCCCAUUCCCUCCCCCCAGUCUUUGAGGGUGCAAUCCCCCCAUUCCCCCCAUCCCAGUCAUCCCAGUCUGAGAUGUCCAAUCCCCCUAUUCCUCCUUCCCAGUCCCCUCCAUUUGAGGUCUCUAGUGCCCCCAGUUCCCCCAGUUUGGCACCUCCAUCCACCCAUUUCCUCCUCCCAGUUCACCCAGUCUGAGGUCUCCAUCCCCCCAUUUACCCGUCCCAGUUCUCACCCCCUGUCCCCCGCAGCCGCCGCCGAUGGCUCAGGACAACGCUGCCUUCUGCGGGGUCCCCGAGGGGGUCCCCACGGGGGUCCCGGCUGAGGCCAAGCCCCCUCCCCAGCCCCCCCAGGCCCCCAAACGCCGCCCGUGGGGGGCCGGGGGCGCCGCGGGGGCCCGGAAGCGGCAGCGCUACGUGGAGAAGGAUGGCAAGUGCAACGUGCAGCACGGCAACGUGCGCGAGACCUACCGCUACCUGACCGACAUCUUCACCACCCUGGUGGACCUCAAGUGGCGCUUCAGCCUCCUCAUCUUCAUCCUGGCCUACGCCCUCACCUGGCUCUUCUUCGGCCUCAUCUGGUGGGUCAUCGCCUACAGCCGCGGCGACCUGGAGCACCUGGGCGACCACACGUGGACGCCGUGCGUCAACAACCUCAACGGCUUCGUGUCGGCCUUCCUGUUCUCCAUCGAGACCGAGACCACCAUCGGCUACGGCCACCGCGUCAUCACGGACACGUGCCCCGAGGGCAUCGUGCUGCUGCUGCUGCAGGCCAUCCUGGGCUCCAUGGUCAACGCCUUCAUGGUGGGCUGCAUGUUCGUCAAGAUCUCGCAGCCCAACAAGCGCGCCGAGACGCUGGUGUUCUCCUCGCACGCCGUGGUGUCGCUGCGCGACGACCGCCUGUGCCUGAUGUUCCGCGUGGGCGACCUGCGCGACUCGCACAUCGUCGAGGCCUCCAUCCGCGCCAAGCUCAUCCAGUCCAAGCAGACGCAGGAGGGCGAGUUCAUCCCGCUCGACCAGACCGACCUGAGCGUGGGCUUCGAGACCGGCGACGAUCGGCUCUUCCUGGUGUCGCCGCUCAUCAUCAGCCACGAGAUCGACGAGCGCAGCCCCUUCUGGGACGUGUCGCGGGGGCAGCUGGAGAGGGAUGACUUCGAGAUCGUCGUCAUCCUCGAGGGCAUGGUGGAGGCCACAGUGGCGCAGGGACACGGCGUCUUUGUGUGGGUUCAUCCAUGGGGAUGUCAUCUCCAUGAGACACAUGGUCUUUGUGGGGAUGUAUUGUCUUCGUGGGACAUGUCAUCUCCAUGGGACACAUCUGUGGGAACAUCUCCAUGAGGACACAUCAUCUCUGUGGGACACAUCUGUGGGAACAUCUCCAUGAGGAUACACAUCAUCUCUGUGGGACACAUCCAUGAGGACACAUCUUCAUGGGGACAUCUCAUCUCUGUGGGGACAUCACCUCCAUGGGGACCCAUCACCUCCGGAUGACGUGCCAGGCCCGCAGCUCCUACCUGGCGGACGAGGUGCUCUGGGGUCACCGUUUCACGCCGCUGCUCAGCCUGGAGGAAGGCUUCUACGAGGUGGACUACGGCGGCUUCCACCACACGGUGCCCGUGCCC